rnacentral:rRNA from 1 species
UGCAACGCGAAGAACCUUACCUACUCUUGACAUCCAGAGAACUUAGCAGAGAUGCGUUGGUGCCUUCGGGAACUCUGAGACAGGUGGGGCAUGGCUGUUGUCAGCUUGUGUUGUGAAAUGUUGGGUUAAGUUCCGCAAAGAGCGCAACCCUUUUCCUUUGUUGCCAGCCAUUAAGUCGGGAACUCAAAGGAGACUGCCAGUGAUAAACCGGAGGAAGGUGGGGAUGACGUCAAAUCAUCAUGGCCCUUAUGAUUUGGGCUACACACGUGCUACAAUGGCAUAUACAAAGGGAAGCGAACUCGCGAGGUCAAGCAAACCUCAUAAAGUCAGUCUCAGUUCGGAUUGUAGUCUGCAACUCGCCUACAUGAAGUCUGGAAUCGCUAGUAAUCGUGAUCAGCU